UACGAAGGGGGCUAGCGUUGUUCGGAAUUACUGGGCGUAAAGGGCGCGUAGGCGGUCCUUCAAGUCAGGCGUGAAAGCCCCGGGCUCAACCUGGGAACCGCGCUUGAGACUGGCGGGCUAGAGUUCGGGAGAGGAUGGUGGAAUUCCCAGUGUAGAGGUGAAAUUCGUAAGAUAUUGGGAAGAACACCGAUGGCGAAGGCAGCCAUCUGGACCGACACUGACGCUGAGGCGCGAAACGUGGGGAGCAAACAGG
rnacentral:rRNA from 1 species